CUCUCACCGCCGAGGGCAUCUUCCGGAGGUCUGCCAACACCCAGGUAGUAAGAGAAGUGCAGCAGAAAUACAAUAUGGGUGAGCGGACCAGACCCUGGAGCCAGUCCAGACGGUGCACAUGAUGGGUCUGCAUGUGUGUGUUUGAGAAGAUGAGGCAUGUUGUGAAUGUGAGGGCUGUAGCAACGACGCAUGAAGCUCUUCAGAAGUUUCUGUGUCCUUUGGUGUGACCACAUAGGCCCUACUUCUGCCUGGAUGUUCCAGGCUGACGGCCUCACAUUCAGGGGUUCAAGCUCAUUUAGAGGCAAGGAGUAAUUGUCCUAUGUGUCAGUUACCUCAUGCUCUAGGUGGUCUGAGCCUAUAUCCCUUGUUACAGAAGAAAAGAGGCAGAUGUACUAGGGGGAUCCUAGGAAAAGGCAGCUUAUGCAGUGGACAGGGCUGAAGUGAGGUGUGGGGCCUGCGGACCUCUGGCUUGCCUAGCAUGCUCUCCCUCUUUUUCUACCCCAUGAAGGGCUGCCAGUGGACUUUGACCAGUACAAUGAGCUGCACCUGCCAGCCGUCAUACUCAAGACAUUCCUUCGGGAGCUUCCUGAACCCUUGCUAACCUUUGACCUCUACCCCCACAUUGUGGGCUUCCUCGAUCUUGAUGACGACCAGAGAGUGGAGGUAACACAGCAGGUUCUCCAAACUCUGCCAGAGGAGAACUACCGGGUACUUCACUUCCUGACUGCCUUCCUUGUACAGGUAUCUGCCCACUCUUACCAGAACAGGAUGAAUAACACUAACCUGGCUGUGGUCUUCGGCCCUAACCUGCUGUGGGCUAAGGAUGCUGCCAUCACCCUCAAGGCCAUUAAUCCCAUCAACACCUUCACUAAAUUCCUCCUGGAUCAUCAAGGGGAAUUGUUCCCCAGCACAGAUGCCCAGGGGGUCUGAGCUCAGCCCCCACCUCCAGCCCCUUCUCUGGCAGCUCCAGUUGGACUUGUCC
rnacentral:lncRNA from 1 species